rnacentral:rRNA from 1 species
GGCUUAGAGUUUGAUCAUGGCUCAGGAUGAACGCUAGCGACAGGCCUAACACAUGCAAGUCGAGGGGCAGCGGAGAGGUAGCAAUACCUUUGCCGGCGACCGGCGCACGGGUGAGUAACACGUAUGCAAUCCACCUGUAACAGGGGGAUAACCCGGAGAAAUCCGGACUAAUACCCCAUAAUAUGGGCUCUCCGCAUGGAGGGUCCAUUAAAGAGAGCAAUUUUGGUUACAGACGAGCAUGCGCUCCAUUAGCCAGUUGGCGGGGUAACGGCCCACCAAAGCGACGAUGGAUAGGGGUUCUGAGAGGAAGGUCCCCCACAUUGGAACUGAGACACGGUCCAAACUCCUACGGGAGGCAGCAGUGAGGAAUAUUGGUCAAUGGUCGGCAGACUGAACCAGCCAAGUCGCGUGAGGGAAGACGGCCCUACGGGUUGUAAACCUCUUUUGUCGGAGAGUAAAGUACGCUACGUGUAGCGUAUUGCAAGUAUCCGAAGAAAAAGCAUCGGCUAACUCCGUGCCAGCAGCCGCGGUAAUACGGAGGAUGCGAGCGUUAUCCGGAUUUAUUGGGUUUAAAGGGUGCGUAGGCGGCACGCCAAGUCAGCGGUGAAAUUUUCGGGCUCAACCCGGACUGUGCCCGUUGAAACUGGCGAGCUAGAGUGCACAAGAGGCAGGCGGAAUGCGUGGUGUAGCGGUGAAAUGCAUAGAUAUCACGCAGAACCCCGAUUGCGAAGCAGCCUGCUAGGGUGCGACAGACGCUGAGGCACGAAAGCGUGGGUAUCGAACAGGAUUAGAUACCCUGGUAGUUCACGCAGUAAACGAUGAAUACUAACUGUUGCGAUACAAUGUAAGCCGGUACAGCGAAA